rnacentral:rRNA from 1 species
GGAUCAUUAUCGGGAUAGAUUUUCAUUUUUGAAGAUCAUCUUCCAUGACCCUUUUUUGUCUAUCAAAAAAAUUGUCUUUACUUCGGCAAGACGUCUUUUUUUUCGAUUUGAUUGAUAUUUCAACAAAUCAAAGAAAAAGCCAUUGGUUAGAAAUAACGAAUGAGUUUUGCUUGUCGAAGGUUUUUUUUAUAAAAACUCUUUAUUAUCAAAUGAAGUCUGAGUAAUAAACAAAAAUAAAGUUAAAACUUUCAACAACGGAUCUCUUGGUUCUGGCAUCGAUGAAGAACGCAGCGAAAUGCGAUACGUAAUGUGAAUUGCAGAAUUCAGUGAAUCAUCGAAUCUUUGAACGCACAUUGCGCCUAAGAGUAUUCUCUUAGGCAUACCUGUUCGAGCGUCGUUUAACAUUAUAAGGCUUUGCCUUGCGUUGAUAGUCUUUUGAGAGAAUGUUUUUUUCAUUUACUCAAACUAUCCAAAAUUAUUGGCAAUUUGUAAUGACCGAAUGCGCAGCGAAAUGCGAUUAUGAAAGUCAUAUAACAAUUAUUCGCCAGUCCACAUAUAAUUUAUCUGUUCGACCUC